CCUACGGGCGGCAGCAGUGAGGAAUAUUGGUCAAUGGGCUUACGCCUGAACCAGCCAAGUCGCGUGAGGGAAGACUGCCCUAUGGGUUGUAAACCUCUUUUGUCAGGGAGCAACGCCGGCUACGUGUAGCCGGACUGAGAGUACCUGAAGAAAAAGCAUCGGCUAACUCCGUGCCAGCAGCCGCGGUAAUAGGGAGGAUGCGAGCGUUAUCCGGAUUUAUUGGGUUUAAAGGGUGCGUAGGCGGAAUGCCAAGUCAGCGGUAAAAUCGCGGGGCUCAACCUCGCUCCGCCGUUGAAACUGGCGUUCUUGAGUGGGCGAGAAGUAUGCGGAAUGCGUGGUGUAGCGGUGAAAGGCAUAGAUAUCACGCAGAACUCCGAUUGCGAAGGCAGCCUACCGGCGCCCAACUGACGCUGAAGCACGAAAGCGUGGGUAUCGAACAGGAUUAGAUACCCCGGUAGUC
rnacentral:rRNA from 1 species